UUUUAUUCUUUAUUUAUUCCAAGACAAUCUGAGACAUUACAUGCAGUCCAUAACAAGUGUGUUUCAUACAUAGGCAGAGUUUAACGUACGAUUGUGGACAAUAUUCAUUUCCACUUGAACAGCAGGUUUACGGCUAUGAGUGAUCCCACCCAUGCCUUUUUCGGUAAGAGAUAAUCACCGAGGAGCCACCUCCAACAUUCUGCC